UAGGGAAUUUUCGGCAAUGGGGGAAACCCUGACCGAGCAACGCCGCGUGAGCGAAGAAGGCCUUCGGGUCGUAAAGCUCUGUUGUAAAGGAAGAACGGCGCAUACAGGAAAUGGUAUGCGAGUGACGGUACUUUACCAGAAAGCCACGGCUAACUACGUGCCAGCAGCCGCGGUAAUACGUAGGUGGCGAGCGUUAUCCGGAAUCAUUGGGCGUAAAGAGGGAGCAGGCGGCCGCAAGGGUCUGUGGUGA
rnacentral:rRNA from 1 species